rnacentral:ncRNA from 1 species
GUUCACUUGAACGAGCGGUCAAGCUCCCGGACGAGACGCGCCGUACCCGGAACGCCAAGACGACGCACU